CUGUAAUGUAUGUAUUUAGGAAAAUAAUUGGCAAAUUCAAUGGCGUCUUUGAAAGCUAUUUCAUAAAUUUCCACCCUUUUAGUUAUACAUGCAGACAUUUUACAGAAUAUUUUGUUGCUUUAUUUGAACAGUGCCCACCAUAUAUGGUGUAAGGCAAUCUCACUCUUUUUUUUUUCGCCAUUGAUACUAAUAUAUAUCAGGACAAACAGUACUUGAAAUCAUGGUAUAAAUAAAUAUAAAUAUAUUAAGAAAUGUUCCCUGAUUUACAGACAGCGAAUACAUAUAUACAGCUAUGUGGGUAACAAUUAAGUGAGCGCGGAGAUGAGUAGGCAAUGUAGCAGUAAUAGCCAAAUCCAUAAAGUAAACUAUAUCAUGUCCAUAGCGUCUCUUUUAUAUCCACAACUCUAACAGAUGCAGGAAGGAAAUCCUAUCCUAUCUAAAGGAUAACAAAUGGUAUUUAAUGUAGGCUUUAGAAUAAAAUGGAAGGUGUUCCAAUUGAGCUUUGGUAUAAAGCACAGACACAGAUGGUUGUUGUAAAAAAAAAGAGCCUGCAUAGUGUUCUGUAUGGUCUACUACACAACGCCUAAAUCUAUCAGAUAUUUCCUGAGAACUGCAUCCUUUACAUCAGUGAACACUGCCUGGAUAUUGUUUGUGUCUGUGGCACAGGUGAAAUGAGGAUAAAGUCUGUCCUCUGCUUCCUUCUUCCCUAUAACUGCCAUGCCAGGUACUUUUGCUUUGUUGAAAAUCUCAUUGUAGGUUUCCAAAAUGAACUUCUUAGCAGUCUCGGUAUUUCGCCGGGGACCUAUAAAAAAAUGAGAGUACAAAUAGAGUAAUACAGUGAUUCAAAUAGAAUUAUCCACUAAAGUGAGAAUUGCUGGGAAUUUAAGAGGAAUUCCAA